AUUGAACGCUGGCGGCAUGCUUUACACAUGCAAGUCGAACGGCAGCACGGGGGCUUGCUCCUGGUGGCGAGUGGCGAACGGGUGAGUAAUGCAUCGGAACGUACCCAGUAGUGGGGGAUAGCCCGGCGAAAGCCGGAUUAAUACCGCAUAUUUCCUGAGGGAGAAAGCGGGGGACCUUCGGGCCUCGCGCUACUGGAGCGGCUGAUGUCGGAUUAGCUAGUUGGUGAGGUAAAGGCUCACCAAGGCGACGAUCCGUAGCUGGUCUGAGAGGAUGAUCAGCCACACUGGGACUGAGACACGGCCCAGACUCCUACGGGAGGCAGCAGUGGGGAAUUUUGGACAAUGGGCGCAAGCCUGAUCCAGCCAUGCCGCGUGAGUGAAGAAGGCCUCGGUUGUAAGAC
rnacentral:rRNA from 1 species